GAUGAACGCUGGCGGCGUGCUUAACACAUGCAAGUCGAACGAAGCAUUUGCGACAGAUUUUUUCGGAAUGAAGUUGCUUAUGACUGAGUGGCGGACGGGUGAGUAACGCGUGGGUAACCUGCCUUGUACUGGGGGAUAGCAGCUGGAAACGGCUGGUAAUGCCGCAUAAGCGCACAAUGUUGCAUGACAUGGUGUGAAAAACUCCGGUGGUAUAAGAUGGACCCGCGUCUGAUUAGCUAGUUGGUGAGAUAACAGCCCACCAAGGCGACGAUCAGUAGCCGACCUGAGAGGGUGACCGGCCACAUUGGGACUGAGACACGGCCCAGACUCCUACGGGAGGCAGCAGUGGGGAAUAUUGCACAAUGGAGGAAACUCUGAUGCAGCGACGCCGCGUGAGUGAAGAAGUAAUUCGUUAUGUAAAGCUCUAUCAGCAGGGAAGAUAGUGACGGUACCUGACUAAGAAGCUCCGGCUAAAUACGUG
rnacentral:rRNA from 1 species